UUUAAAUUUACAGUGCUCUUGAGAACCUACGUACAUAUUAAAUCUGUACUGUAACAUAACUGUAUCCCUUCGAAAACAAUAGACUUGUAAGCUUUUGCUGAAAUUGAAGUGUUUAAUACACCUGGCAUUCAUCAGCAUUUGAACAAUGGUUUUAAAACGUUAUGGUUAGUUGAAAAUGCUUAGUGUAGUUUCAGCAGCCGUAGCUGUCAGAGCUGUAGAGAUGGAGUCUCAUCCGUCUUGAAAUAUAACAUUUUAAUGUGUUCAUUUCAACAUUUCCGAUAUUGCCCAGAAACUGAGAAAUUUAAAAAAAUCUUGCUGUUUUCUACUAAGACGUGCAACCAACUCCAGAGAUGGUGGGCUGUUCCUCAUGAACACGUCAACACGCACAACAUGUACUCACUGGUACAGAACCCAGAUGGUUUUAGAUAGACAGUCACUUUGAUUGUGGCCAUCAUUUAGGUGUGGAGCAAUGCUAGUGAGAUGAGAAAGUCUGCAAGAGGGAGAAUGAGAAUUAGAGAGGUUCCACUCAGCAGGAAACAAAAAGUGAAAUGAAACCUCUACUAAGAGUGUCUAGAGUUGUUUAUUAUUAAAGGAGUUUUACCAACUGCCAGGAACCCUUAUUCUCACCAUUACCUGUGGACCUGCAGUUGUUUUGUCACUGCAGCUUUCAUGACACUGGGCAAAGUGUCAUGACACUGGGAUGGAAACAUGCUCCAUGUGCUUUCAAAUAUAAUAAUAAUACAUGAGGGUCUCAGUUUUGAUAGAACGAAGCAACUCCUGUGAUUGCAGUUAUGGAGGCUUUCACUUAUACUAAACCAGUUUUGCUGGUGAGACCAAAGGACAGCUGCUGAUAUUUUAAUAUGUGAAGAAUCUGCGUAAAUUCCAGAACUAAACAGCAGUCUGUGCAGGAUUGUAUAGGAGGUGGUUGUUUUCCUCUGCACCUGAAUCUUUGAGUGUUUAUUAAGUACUGCCUGAACUGUCAUCUUAGGGCAGGUUUUGUACCCUGCAGUGUCUGUGCUGCAGAGAGCUGCAUCUACUGGUAUGUCUACUUGAAUGAGAUUGUAUGCUUCAUAAAAUAGUCUUCACACUAAGAGAACAUAUUGUGGGCUAGACUUUUUGCAUGUUUAAUAUGGACAUUUUUGUGUGACUUUUUUAAUGUCUUUGGAAAACAGCAGUGGUAUUUUCCUGGAUGUGUUCCUGUUGCUUUCCUUUGCUGAUUGCUAACAUGCUAGGAGGAGAUCAGGCAUAUUUUUAUCUUAUUGUAACAAAAUGAGUUCCAUGGAAACGGCAGCAGGGGAAGCCUGCUGAGCAGCUGGAGGUCAGAAAUCAGCCCACAUUUAGAAAUGAAGAAAGGCAGCAUGGUGGGGCAUGGCUGCCUGCAUUCACUGCUCCAGGGCUGGUCACUUCAACCUGCAGCAGGCUGGCUUAAGGCAAACUUUCUGCAAAUUAUGACAUUCAGUUAUGGCAGCUGUAGACUGUCACAUAGGCUGGAUGUGUGGCUACGGUGAAAGAUCUGGGGUUGUCACCACGGGGUGACCACAAGCCCUGUACACAACUGUCACCCAGUGGAAAGCCUGUUUUUUCAUGUCAGUGUAUCAUGUUUGUUGCAAAAACCCACUCAUGGCACCUAGCAGGGCUGAUCUGGAGUCCUAGAGAAAUUUGUUAGAACAGGAGUGUGAAAUAGGAAGGUAUGGGUUGGCUUCCCCUCACCCUACAGAGCACCGGGGUGCUGUGGGGCAGCGGGUGCAUCCCCAGCUGCAGGCCGCGCUCAUCGUUUCCAUGGCAACGCAAGAUGGCAGGUCUGCCCUGCUCCUCACAGUGCAAAAUGCCGGGUUUUGUCCAUCGGCUGAAGGCAGCAAUCCUGCCCUAGUGACAAAAGUGAACAAAUUAUUUAGGACACUCAGGAGAAAAAGCCACUUGAUAGUGUUUUAUCUGCUUAUCAUCUGGGGUGAUCUCUUCACCACGGUGAGGGAAAGAGUGGCAAAUCUGAUAAAGGUGACACAAACUGUCAGGAGAAUUGGUGGCAUCGAGGGAGGCCUGGUGCUAAUCAUCCAACUGGAGUGGAAGAGUUUGCAGGCUCUCUGUUGUGAGGAAAUCUGUGCAGCUGUGGUUCAGCAUCUGUAGUGUGCAAAAAUUAGCAACAAACUCAGCGAAAAACUGGAGCCUAUGCUAGACCUUGAUUCAAGAUGUAUGGCAACCUCCCUGCAUUUAAAGAACUCUGGUUCUGGUCCUUACUUGCAGAGUGACUAAGGUCUGUUUCCUUUCAAAAGCAUUUUGAAGCAGAUAUGGCAAGCAAUAGUGCAUCACCUCCAUGUGAGAUGCCUUUGUGAUAUUCACAGGAAGUCCCAGUCACAAAUAAAAAGACUGUUCUUCACUAGGAUCAAAUCAGAAUUAUUUGACAUCAGCUGGGUCAGGAUGGGGAGCUUUGAUCGGAGGAGAUGAAAGACGGGUGAAAACUCUGCUGGGCCAUAGAGUCCCCUGCUGAAACUGAAACUUCAUGCUACAACUGGGCCUCAUCUGACUUUAAUUAAAUAAGGGAAGAUCAAAGCCUACAAAUCUCCCUGAUCUAUAUCAGCACAGCAAAUUAAAGGUAAAAUUUCUCUGUAUCUUUUUGUUCCUUUGAAGUCAAUAGUGAACUUUGUGCUAUGCACGGGAACACAAUGAAUGCUGUUUGGGUAGCUGCAGGUUUACAAUAAUUUUGAUGUCAUGUUUAUGCAAGAGGAGAGAGGAAAGCCAUUUCUUGAAAUGAUGCCCUCACAGCUGUUGGGCCCCACUCCUCCCCCAGGUUGAUUUUAUCUUUGGGAUUUGCUUUGCCUUGCAAUGAUGCUAGGGGCACAAUUACA